rnacentral:rRNA from 1 species
GCUUAACGCGAAGAACCUUACCAGCUUUUGACAUGUCCGGUUUGAGGAACAGAGAUGUACCUCUUCAGUUCGGCUGGCCGGAACACAGGUGCUGCAUGGCUGUCGUCAGCUCGUGUCGUGAGAUGUUGGGUUAAGUCCCGCAACGAGCGCAACCCUCGCCCCUAGUUGCCAUCAUUCAGUUGGGAACUCUAGGGGGACUGCCGGUGAUAAGCCGCGAGGAAGGUGGGGAUGACGUCAAGUCCUCAUGGCCCUUACAGGCUGGGCUACACACGUGCUACAAUGGCGGUGACAAUGGGCAGCGAAAGGGUGACCUCGAGCUAAUCCCAAAAAGCCGUCUCAGUUCAGAUUGUACUCUGCAACUCGAGUACAUGAAGGUGGAAUCGCUAGUAAUCGUGGAUCAGCAUGCCACGGUGAAUACGUUCCCGGGUCUUGUACACACCGGGG